rnacentral:rRNA from 1 species
UACGAAGGGUGCAAGCGUUACUCGGAAUUACUGGGCGUAAAGCGUGCGUAGGUGGUUUGUUAAGUCUGAUGUGAAAGCCCUGGGCUCAACCUGGGAAUUGCAUUGGAUACUGGCAGGCUAGAGUGCGGUAGAGGAUGGCGGAAUUCACGGUGUAGCAGUGAAAUGCGUAGAUAUCGUGAGGAAGACCAGUGGCGAAGGCGGAUCUCUGGACAGUUCCUGACGCUGAGGCGCGAAGGCCAGGGGAGCAAACGGG